UACGAAGGGUGCAAACGUUGCUCGGAAUUACUGGGCGUAAAGCGUGCGCAGGCGGUUUUGUAAGUCAGAUGUGAAAUCCCCGGGCUUAACCUGGGAACUGCGUUUGAAACUACAAGGCUAGAGUGUGGCAGAGGGGGGUGGAAUUCCACGUGUAGCAGUGAAAUGCGUAGAGAUGUGGAGGAACACCGAUGGCGAAGGCAGCCCCCUGGGUUAACACUGACGCUCAGGCACGAAAGCGUGGGGAGCAAACAGG
rnacentral:rRNA from 1 species